AAUAAGUUGCAAACUCACCGGUUAGUGUUUUUCCUCCAUUCAAACAUACUUAGUUGUUUGAAUUGAGUUGUUUUCCUCCUCACGGCAUGCACAUGUAACUCUUUGUUGUAGUUUGAAGCGACAAAAACAAGCGCAUUAGUUCGAGGUUGUUACUUGCACGGAUGGUGAUGUUUCCACACAGGAGCGCGGAGAGAGAGCCGACUCCUCCCUGACAUUGUUGGGUUAAACUCCUCCUUUCCACCCCGGCUAACAGACGAGGGGGGGCGGCCAAGCUAAUCGCUUCUUUUCUACCACGUAACAAACGUCUUCGCUAAAACAUUAAUUGUUUUUACUUUUAUAAAUUAGUCUCACUGGAUUGAAUUUACACAGCUGCCACUAGCAAAUGCUAAAAAGUAGCAUAUAUCCAGGUGUUAGCAAUAACAUGAAUUGGGUCAUUCCAGCUGUGGUUGACAGGGACAAACGGGUAGAACAAUCAAACGCUCCAAACAGAAACACUAUAACGUAAAUGUGAAAGUCUAUAACGGCCAAAACACACGCAAACCUAAAACAAAAUGUUAACACAAAACACGUUUUUAUGGUUUCAAAAUCAUAUUUCCACAUGGAGUAGUGUAUACAUCUUCAGUUCAAUAUAGCUUCUCACCUAUGUAACACCGAAAAUGGAGCCAAAGACACAGUAUUUUGAAAAAGAAGGAAAAACACAAUUGAAUCGAAUUGAAUUCAAGAAAUAACGCCUGACAAAAGAGGAAGAAGGUGUCCCUGCUGUGUCUCGCUGUAGGAAAACUCACAUGAAGAAUCACGUCUUCAAUUAAGGUGAUCCGUUGGGACGUCGAGGAUCGUAUCGUCAUGUAUGGCCAUCGUAUUGCAGCUCUGGUGAGCCAAGCAUAUCUUCUCAGCAUCUUAUGCAUCUGCAGCAAUGUCAAAGGAUUUUGCUGACGAAUGACGCCAAGAGAAAGGCAGGCGACAUGAAAGAGGCAUCUUGCAGCAGCUCACACGCAAAGACAAAGGAAGUCCGUAUACACAGGAGAGGUGAAGGAAGGGCGGGAGAAAGAUAAGGCAUGAAAAAAACAAACAAAAAAAACAAACCCACAAGGACUUUUAAUCGAACACGAUGGUUGUGAUCCGAGUGAAAUCGCAGGCAGCCUUUCACGGUCCCAACUAAUGAGAAAUCAAUAACGACAACGUGCGACCCGACAACCUCUAGCACCAAUGUUAGUGAGUUAAGACAGAAUACUCACAGCACCGGAUUUAACUUCACUUUAUACAAGGAAGAGCAUUAAAACACACCUACUAAUCAAUACGUUAUUCAGGAAGGGGUUGGGCCAUCUUAAUUUCUCAGCAUACCAGGACAACUGGCCUUGCCCCCCAUGCCCAACACUGACCACACAAAUAUUGGGGACAGACAACAAUUCCCCCAAACACAAAGAUAGAGGGGACCAAUUCCUUAUACAGUAAAACCUCCACUUUCGUAUGAUUCGGCGGUCGACCAAAAUUUGCCUAUUGUACAAUAUUGCGUGUAACAAACUAGUGCUGUACUGUAUCAUUCCACCGAAUCGAUUGCCCAAACAAAGGACCCAACGCAACGCUGACUCACUGUCUAGUGCAUAUUACAUUGAGUGUGAUGGCUAAAUAACCUGGCAUGAAGCCAAAUAAAGUCGCAAGUGCCAGGAAUUUUAGUAAGAAGGUGAGAAACACUAUUAAACUAUUCAACAAACUCCUCCCAAAGUAUAGAGAUGGCGUUUGAGUAGCCGAUAUCAGCAGGAUGCAUGGGAGGUCCGCAUCAACAAUUACUUCCAUUUUGCAUAAGAAGGAAGAAAUCAAGGAAGCUAAUUUUGCAAAAGGGGAAAGGUGUUAAAACAGAGAACACAAACAAUCGGAGAUGUUGACAAGUUGCUGUUAGUGUUAAACCCCCUUCUCCUUCUUUGCAUUACUUUCUGCAUGAGAAACAAUAAUUAUGCUCUAUGUAAUCAAUUUUAUUUGGUGUCUGAAGCAGAUAAAUUGGAUUUGCAUAUUUUAUCAGACCUUUUGGAAUGAAAUAACCAAAACCGAGGUAUAUAUGUAUUGUUUAUGUACAGUAUCUUCUAUUUUCACUUUAUGUGUCUCUGUGCUUUUGUUUGUACAGUGUCCAAAUGAUUCCUCCAGCAUGAAACUUAAGUUCCAUUGCUGUCAUGCGCACUGCUUGACCAUUACUCAGCACAAACGUGACCAAGACUGCAUGAUAAAAUAAAUGGAGCUGUUCUAGAUGAUGUUGAAUGCACAGGUGCACCUGCUAAAAAUGAUACACUGCAGUGUGAUGGUUUGGUGUGUUGAAACGGCACACGUGAUGAUUUGUCACUCGCGUUGCAUCAUCUAUCUUAACUGCUUGGCUGCUGCACACAGUUGUUACAAAGGGGGGCCUGACUGCUGAUUUCUUUAUUGGCUUCCAAGUGUCCAAACAACUGUUGGUGGUCUAAAACUUUUGCACAGUGCUGUAUUUCUCGUCUACAUUCUAAAAUCAUCCAUUAGUACAACACAACAAAUGCAUUUUUUUAUUGUUGGAUAUGUUCUCACACAUUACCAUACUGUAUAAUGCUCACUUGUAUGAGAUAACACAAAAUUAAAUAAAUGCACCUCACUGUUCCAAUACAUCUGGGUGGCACCGUAGAUGAUAAACAGAAAGGGACAGAGUCUUGUACAGAGCCUUGAGGGACACCAUGUGUAAUUGGGACAGAAUGGAGUUUGCUGUUAUUGAUAGAUACACAGUGAACUCUAUCCACGGUCACUUCCAUGCACCGAAGUUUGUGCUAAUCGAUGAUAUAGUGGAACAUCGGUUGGUGUAUGCCGCAGUUAGCAGUUAAAAAUGUAUGCCAAAAUGUUUCCUUGGUUUGCAUACAUUCUGGUUAGCGUACAAGAUGGCACUUGUAUUGAUAAUACACUGCGUGAGUCCAAUUGCGUUCUUAAUGUGUUUCUAUCACAAAAUGUCCUGUUAGCAUCUUUAACCUGCUAGCAAAAUGGCAAACGCAACCGUAAGUCAGCUACGUCAUCAGUCAGUGAUGUCAUCAGUGGUUGACGCUCAAAAAUGUUAACACAAAACAUAAUUUUAUACAUUAAAAUUAUUUUAAUUAUUUUAAUUUUAUACAUAAUUUUAACAUUUAAUAUAACUUCAAUGCAAAUUUCUUUGAUUAAUUGUGGGUUCCUGAGGUGAGAAACACUACUGAAUUCAAUAACUUUAAUAACUGUUGAAGAGGAAGGUGUUGAUCUCAUUGCCACAUCGUGUCUUUGGGAACGUCAAGACUCACAAUUUCAGUUAAUUUAUCCCUUUAAUUCAUAAUUUUGAAUAGUUUUCUACAUGUAAAACUAUUAGCAUUUUGAGCUUUCUGGAAUGGAAUAAUUGGAUUGGCAUUAUUUCUUGUGAGCACCCAUUUCAGUUAGAGCCCUUUCUGGAAAAAUGAAUAGCCCUAACCAAGGUUUCACAGUAGUGUUGCGGAGCUACUGGAUUUCAGGAGAGUUGUCAGUAGAUUUCAAAGCAAGUUCAAUUGUAACUUUUCCUAGUGGGAAAGAUAACAUUCCCGUCAUACCGGUUUACUGGAAUGCAUCUUAAGUCAAAUAAAACCAAGUACUAAGUACCAAAUGAUAGGAAUCAAAGCAAACCUGGGGUCACUUGAUUGAAUUUCAGCAUGAUGGCAGGUCAAGAAGCCAACAACAAUGGAAAGCUCAGUAAAGAAAAUAGUGAACGCUGAGUCCAAUGAGUCAAAUGCAAUCAGUCACUCAAGUGUAAUUUGAUUUGGGUUGUGCUCUGCUCACAUUUAAUUGAAUAAAAGUCUUACGCUUAAGAUGUAAACAACUUCGAGUGGUAGCUAGGUUGAAGUUUGAGAAUCAGAUUUCUUCAAAAUGUAUCCAAAAUCAUGAGCUCAUUAGGCCUUUUAUAGGGCUGUAGUUUCAUGCACAAUUAGCAGUGUGGCCAUUUUCACCGAGGUUGCCAACAUUCCCAAAGACAUUACCUCCUGACUCCCUGGAGAAGAACUUUCACACCCCUGAUGAGGGUGCACUUAAAAUUACACACCCCUGUAAAAAAACUGCUCAUUUCACUUUCCUAAUUGGAAAAACACAUUAUUCUGGAUCGUUCCCACUAAAGUAUCACCUGACCUGCAAAAACAAUGCAGCGUAACAGGAAGGCCCUCUUGUCUGUCUGGCUGGCACAUCAGGUUUUAGACAAAAUGAGAAAUAAUGACCAGGAGCUGGUAAAGGAAAGCUGAUCUCCCACAGCUCCUCUGCAAUAAAGUGUAUGGCCUGGUUGGCUUUGCUCUGUUUUCGUAGCGCUAUGGAGGACUUCAACAAUGGAUUAGGAUGUGUUUAGUCAAUGCUGGUUUGAGUCGGGGAAGAAAUAAAAUCCAUUUUGGCACAAAGCUUUUCAUAUCCUUGGGAGAGGAUGAAAUAAGCACUUUCAGGUCCAUUUCACAAGUGGGUACCUGCUGUUUUUGGACUCCACUACAGUCCUCUGUGUGGGUGUGCUUCACCAAAAACGCAAGCGGCAGUGUUUUCCUAACAAUGCCGACUGAAACGACAUCCAUAUAAAUCUAAUGUCUUAUAAAGGUGUUCAAAUUUGUGGAAUUCCAUUGUUUUCUUUUGGCCGACUUUUUGGCACUUCUGCGAGAGGGAAGAGCCAGGAAUGAUGUACGAAGAAAAGACAACCAAUCACAGCUCUGCAAUACGCAAAGUUGGACAUUUUUGGAGGUGCAUGUCUAGCUUUGCUGAAGAGAUUUAAGGGGGGGGGCAAACAGCCGGUGUUGCUUACGCUAGCUCUGCGCUGCUGGAGCAUAAUUCAGGUUUUAGACGGUUUAAACAGCCUCCACUGUACAAAUGAUUAUUACUAUUAGAAGCUCAUAGUUGCAGAUAUACAUGUAACUGUUCCCCGUGACUGUAGUUUACCAUGAGCAGGCUUUUUCCCGUAUUUUGGAAACAAAAAUGGUCUAAAAGAGAGCACAGUGGUAGUGGAGGAUGCUCCUGCCAAUGAUUAGCUAUUCCUCCCAUACAUGUACAGUAUACUGGGACAGUGAAAAUAGUACAAUCUCGCUCAGAUGGCAUAUAAAUUGCACGCAUCCGUGGACCAGAGACAUAAACAGGGAGACUCGUUCCAUAAAUAUGCAGAACUGAAAAAGUCUUUUGAAUUAAAGAUGAAACGCCUUCAACUAACAAGAAAAGUCCAGUCUCCUCCAUUCAAUCUUUGCGGAUUACUAUGACCUGGUUGACUGAGGAUGUACGCAUACAGCAGGGAUUAUAGUACCAGUGUUGUCUGCAAGUGAAGAUAUUCAAAGAACAUUUUUACCCCCCCACACAAAAAAACCCUUAGGGAGCAGAAUGAAAGAAUUCCGAGACUAGAAAAAAACGCCUGGAUGUCACAAAAGUUACAAAUCACUGCUCCUUUCCUCAUUUUUCGUCUCAUUUGCUGAGUCUGUGGUGCGAACGAUUUGAUUUGCAUUUCAUAUCAGGAAAGGGCAUAAGCGAUCUCAGAAACAUGCAGACCGCAAGUGUGAGAGCACUGAGGGCAUUUCCUUCAAGUCAGGGUUGCCAAACUUUUUCUGCAAGGGCCACAUAGAGAAACAUCUAUUUAAAAGAAUAUUUAAAAGGAUGUGGGGGGACUUUUAUAUAUUUUUUAAAUGGACCCGUGUUGAUAUGCUGAGAUGCUAUCGACUAAAUGCUGACUUAAGCUCCAGCCAAGUCACUCCACAAUCCUUCCAAGGGCGUCUUGAUCCAUUGACAGUACUCCCUUCCUUUAUCACAGUUAAUCGGUUGCAGAGCAGACCGUGAUAAAUUGAUUUCUGCAAAAUAGGAAUCCUUAUUUAUAAAUGAAAUAUGUUCAUACUAGUUAGCGCAUAGAAAACCUGUUUACAGCCCAAUAUUUUUUUUUUUUACAUUAUUAAAGCCUUGCAGACCAAAAUCACCCCUAAAGUCAAAUUUACACUUGUAUUACCCAAUAUAGUAUAAAUAAUAAUAGAAAAGAAGACAGACCACAUAGCAGUAACAUCUUAUAUUUAGAUUUUAGUUCAUUUAGCCAUUUUUAGUGGUUAGCAUGUAGGCCACACAGUCAGGAGAUCGAGAAGACCUCAGAGUUUGCCUGUUCUUCCGGGCAUGCUCGGUUAAUUGGUGACUCCAAAUUGUCCAUAGGUAUGAAUGAGAGUGUGAAUGGUCGUUUGUCUAUAUGUGCCCUGUGAUUGGCUGCACACACACACACGCACACACACACACACACUAGUGUGACAUCUGCUGUGAAUAGACAAUGUCACACUGCAAAGGGGCCACCCGUCACAGAUGUUCUCAGCGAGGUUCUUCCCUUCCCUCACCCUUUGGGAGAGUUCAGAGUGACAGCCCACAGACACAAGGAAACAGGAAGUGUGUUUCUAUUUAACGGGCCAGCAAAAAUCCAUUGUCUUUCUCACGUUUUACAAAUGUCAUUGGACGCUGUAUGUUUGAGCCUGUAAAAAUGAAGGUCCCCAACAUAAAUACUAUGUGGUAUAAGAUAGCAACUGUAGGAGUAUUUGGGGAAAGUAGCCCUCAUACACAAAACAACAAAGGGAGAUGUAUUAAAUGUGUCUGUGGUUGAAAGAAAAGGACAGAUUUGUAGGUAGGGAGUGUGUGUGCACUCUUUUGUAAGAACAAAAAAGGGAGAAAAGUGUUCCUGCAUCAACUUUGUGUGUGUAUGAGAUUAAGAUGGGGUUAUGUAGAGGGGAGAUGGUGUGGUUUAAAACUUAAAUGUGUAUAAGCAUGUGUGUGUGUGUGUGUGUAAAACAGCCCAUAGAAGCCAGCUGUCUCGUCAUUAAUAAACAUGAUCAUGAAUGUUUAAUUACCAUCACUAGGGUGGCAGGGGGACUGUGGGUGAUAUUGAUGACUCUAAAGACACACACACACACACACACACACACACACACACACACAGUCCAUACACACAACAGAUUGGAGGAGCGACAGGAGGCAAGUGUGUCGAUUUUGUGAGCAACAGUAAAAGUGUUAAGUAUGUUAACUCGCGUUGGAAGGUGAGAUUUUUCUCCUUCACAUUUAACACCUAAAGUUUGUGAUAAAUCUGCAUUUAUCGUAUAUACACAAUACAUUGACUGUUAUAACCACAAUGGUUGCUUUUGCUUCAGAAACGUUGGCAAAUUCAAGUAAAGUUACCUUGAAAGCUGAUGUCAUAACAUCUGUAAAAAAAAUUAUAAUUCUAAAUCAGGAAUCCUACUCAGUGGAAAUUCACGUAUCACGGUGAGGUCUGGAAUGGAUUAACUGUAACUGUGCAGUUACAUCAUCACAUCUUGUGAAAUCCUCUUCCUGCUAGAAAAUGUUGGUGGAUUCAUAACUGCAGCACUUUUACCUCCCCUGCAGAUAGUGCUAUCAAAUCACUGUGUAAUAACCCGAACUACGGCAACAAUCUAAAUUUUAUCCUAAUUUGCACCAAAAUUGGAAUGGAUUCCUACAUGGCGUCUGUACUAAUCCUCACAAAGUUUCUCAUGGUUUUCUGAUAUUUCAUAAUCAUAAUCUAAAAUCCCAUUGAAUAAGUGGCAAUGAAGAUGAAAUAACAAAAGGACGUUCUUUGGCAGUUCUUUAAGGGCUAGCAAGUAGUCCUCAAGAACAUCCUGUACUGACGAGCACUCAAAUGGAGCAUCUGUGCCAGCCUCUAAUGUGUGUUUAAAAACAUUUUCUCUGACCUUUCAAAUUGAUGGCUCAGACAUAGUUUGGCAGCUCCCGUCGGGUCAGUGCGGCACCCAAAUCAUUUUAAGGCUGUUAUUUUACAGGGAAGAAAACUUGCAGUGUCACUUUAAUUUCUGGUGCUUUUUUUAAUGGGAAGCUAAAAACAGAAUGAGGAAUUUUUCUGUAGUGCAAUCCAAAAUAUCCCAUGUGAUUAAAAUCUUAUUUAAUGAUGGGGGAAAACUGCAUUAAAAGAUUGUUUACCAUGGGGAUGAUAACUGACAACAGAUGGUCACUUUGGCAAUGGAUGGCAGCAAAUAUGAUUGGUCCAAAACAUACUUCCAAAGAGUAGUCUAUUUCAUUUGACUAGUUGCUUAUGAAAAUAAUAAAAUUUGCAUUGCAAUAUCGUCGUCACUGAAUUGUAAUGAGCUACGCUACUUUUGUAUGACUUUUUAGCUUACUUUCACGAAAAUGUCCAGAUUGAACUUUUGUAUACAACGGAUAGUACUGGCGCUAUGUAGUCACCUCGCUCCUGUCCGAGUUUUUUUACUGCCAGCUGGUUCCUCACUCUAAUUUCUACUUACCUGCUGUUUUACGCUGCUCUUGCAAGUUUGCUACCCGCUAGGGGUGUAUUUGUUUUAGCCUUACUGUUGCUAUUAGCUGUACUAUUUUCUUGUGGUCUCGUUUGUCCCAGCAGCUUACUAACAAUUGUACAACGCUGCGGAUGCAGAUCCAGUGAUAGCUCUUCAAAGGGGCACUUUUUGGGGGAAUUUUGCCCAUCAUUCACGAUCGUUAUGUGAAACAUGAACACAUUUCCAUUUUCUGUGCAUUCUAGCGUGAGAAAAUUAGUUAAUAUGAGCUAUUUACCAUUAUAUUAUACAGUACAGUAUAUACCAUUACAAAAAAACUCUAGAAAAGCAGACAUCCUAAGUGUUGUUGCUGUUCCUAUGCUGGAAAAAUAAACCAAGUAAACGUUUUUUUUUUUAUUUAAUAUAUCACCACCUCCAUGCCAUUGUUGAAAUAUCGAGACUAUGUUAGAGCCCCUAAAACCACCAGUUGAUUCUGCCGAGUCUGCAAUUUGUUGCUAUGUUUUCCAUUGAUGUACAUCUGUGAUGCGACCUUCAGAUGAUGACUCUCAGGGGGGGAAUCUGCACAAUCUUAGCAUCGUAAACAAGACCGCAAGGCCUGAAGGGCUAAUUAGCAGCUAGCUGCUUGAACCGUGCUGUCAUACGGCGAGGGGGGCGGGGGGAUGAAACAGACGCACAGUCAUUGCACUAAACGGAAACAAUGAGUCUUGGUU